CUCCUGGAAACGGGAGAGUGCCUUUCGGGGAGCCCGGAGACAGGUGCUGCAUGGCUGUCGUCAGCUCGUGUCGUGAGAUGUCGGGUUAAGUCCCGCAACGAGCGCAACCCUUGUCUUUAAUUG
rnacentral:rRNA from 1 species